GCCGGGCCAGGUUUCUCUGGGCGUCGGCUGCAGGCAGAAACUGGUGGCGGCUGGCCAUGCAUCCUCUGACGCCCAAACUGGCUUCAGAACUUUCUGUGUUUUUUAGGGGUGAGAAGACAAGUGUGACUGGACAAUUUUCCCAGCUGAAUGACCUUGUACUUUAACCAGAUGAAGCAACUUACAAAGUAGAAAUCAUGCUAACAGUUCUUUUUUUAAAAACUGAACAAUUACACUAAGAAGGUGUAUCUGUCAGUUUCUCCUAGCGUCCCAGACAGUGAACGCCCCAGGGACAACGGAGUUGCAUGCUUGGGCUGAGGAAUGUGGACAGUAACCAGACAGACACGACAAGACCCAGAAGAACAGGGAGCGAAGAGGGCAGGCUCGCCGUGUUGCCACAGUGGGGAUGAGAGAGCCCAGCCUGCUCCCUGGGCCCUGACAGGAGCUCAAUUUCUAGUGAUUAAACAGCCCACAGGAGAACUGGCCUAGAAAACUAAUGGGGUGAGGCCCAAGUAAAAAAGACUGGAAAAAUCUUUUUAAAAGAAACCUAGCCCAGUGGCCAACCUGAUGCAGAGCAGACGGGUGGUAAUUCUUGGCUGAUGAGGAGGAAAAGAGGCAUGACUGGAAGGGGGAACAUUGAGAUCGGUAACAGUUUACCUUCCCUCUGUUGAGCCUUAGCUCUGGUUUAGUCCCAUUUAACUUCCCGGUCCGAUUUUACCCAUGUAUCCCAUUAAGAAAAAAAAUGAAGAGUCGUUUCCCUAAGAUUGGGAGGGUCUGAGAAAGACAAACUUAGUGAGUUUUUUCCUCCUUUGAUUUAAAAAAAAUAGGAUGCUUAUAGGACAAAAUUUCAUUGUUACCUUGAGUAUAGGUGUAAUACGAGAAUUACUGGUUAAAAAGAAAAAGAGAAAGAGAAAUGGAAUGUAUAUACUUAUUUUUAAGAUAGUAGACAUCUGAGCACAUUUUAUUAUUAAAAAGAGUUUUGACAGAGUGGCACUUGGUUUCGACAGAUUCUUAAAAGGGGCUGGGAUGGCAUCUUCAAAGGACAAUGAAUUGGCAAAGGUGUUGUGAGUCCACUUGUUGAAAAACAGUAAAAGUAGGUUGGGAAGAACCAAAAAUCCAGAAACUUAACAACAGCAAAAGCAGAAAAAGUGGCAAAAUUUUUCUAUGGCUGUAUGCCUAUUACUAGAUUUAAUAAGAGAUGCACAUUCUUUCUUGUAAUAUUCCUUGCUUUCCUAUCUAAAAGGACUCACUAAAAUUCCUGAAGUAUUUUUUUACAUCAGAAAAACCUCAAUCAUUUUUAUUGUUCUUGGUUUAAAAAAUUAUUGUUUCUUAAUGCAAUAAAUAGCAUGACUCUGAUAU